GACGAACGCUGGCGGCGUGCCUAAUACAUGCAAGUAGAACGCUGAAGAGAGGAGCUUGCUCUUCUUGGAUGAGUUGCGAACGGGUGAGUAACGCGUAGGUAACCUGCCUUGUAGCGGGGGAUAACUAUUGGAAACGAUAGCUAAUACCGCAUAACAAUGGAUGACCCAUGUCAUUUAUUUGAAAGGGGCAAAUGCUCCACUACAAGAUGGACCUGCGUUGUAUUAGCUAGUAGGUGAGGUAACGGCUCACCUAGGCGACGAUACAUAGCCGACCUGAGAGGGUGGUCGGCCAGACUGGGACUGAGACACGGCCCAGACGCCUACGGGAGGCAGCAGUAGGGAAUCUUCGGCAAUAGGGGCAACCCUGACCGAGCAACGCCGCGUGAGUGAAGAAGGUUUUCGGAUCGUAAAGCUCGGUUGUAAGUCAAGAACGAGUGUGAGAGUGGAAAGUUCACACUGUGACGGUAGCUUACCAGAAAGGGACGGCUAACUACGUG
rnacentral:rRNA from 1 species